rnacentral:rRNA from 1 species
AUUGAACGCUGGCGGCAUGCUUUACACAUGCAAGUCGAACGGUAACAGGCCGCAAGGUGCUGACGAGUGGCGAACGGGUGAGUAAUGCAUCGGAACGUGCCCAGUCGUGGGGGAUAACUGCUCGAAAGAGCAGCUAAUACCGCAUACGAUCUAUGGAUGAAAGCGGGGGACCGUAAGGCCUCGCGCGAUUGGAGCGGCCGAUGUCAGAUUAGGUAGUUGGUGGGGUAAAGGCUCACCAAGCCAACGAUCUGUAGCUGGUCUGAGAGGACGACCAGCCACACUGGGACUGAGACACGGCCCAGACUCCUACGGGAGGCAGCAGUGGGGAAUUUUGGACAAUGGGGGCAAUCCUGAUCCAGCAAUGCCGCGUGCAGGAAGAGGGCCUUCGGGUUGUAAACUGCUUUUGUACGGAACGAAACGGUCUGGGUUAAUACCCUGGGCUAAUGACGGUACCGUAAGAAUAAGCACCGGCUAACUACGUGCCAGCCGCCGCGGUAAUAC